GCGCGAGGAGGCGCGGCUGGAGCAUUGAGUGCCCCGACGACUGACCUGCAAUUGGAAGCAGAUAUUUAUGUGUUAUAUUUGCGUUGUUUAAUUGUUAAAAGAAUUCAUAACUCACUUGUAAAUGAAAGAAAUUGAGCGCUGAUAGUUUGGAUUGCCAUCCACCAGGGCUCGAUGUCUGCGUCAUGCUGUCACCCGAAUUUGAGCGUUCCUUCUCCUUCUUCAUGCUGUAAAUAGGACAGAAAUCUCUUAAGUUCACAGGUAGUGAAUGUAAUAGAUGCUUAAAUCUUCGUCUGUUAAUGUCGCGAUAUUAAGGCGGCCGAUCGGCCUAACUACACAUAAUACCGUUCACUCAAAUUCUCAUCGCGGUCAAACUUCGGAAAUUGAGGACCGUGAGUACGGAUGUAUAAAACCGGUACAAGUUUCGUAGACUACUACUGGAGAAACACUCUGAAGAUAGAGACUGGUUACGGAAGAUGCCUACAGUAAUAUACCAUCUGAUCACAUUUGAGCCGGACACGGAUAACAUCGAAAAUAUAAAAGAAAUAGUGCUUGAAAAUCGUCGUGUUGGCAUUGGAGAGAUAGCAAAGGAACCCAACAUAUCUUUUGGAUCGACUCAACACAUUUCGGUUAAUGUUUUAGUUAUAAAGUGUGUCAAUGUUAGACUCGUACCAAAAUACCACAAUCUUUUGCAAAAACGGCGUCGAAUAGCUAAGGACCCUUUAUUCGUCAAACACAUCGCUACAGGUGACAAGACGUACUAGUAAGUUUAUGAAUAUGCUAUAUAAAGGUGCUGUUACAACCGUUUAAGUGGGAUCCCCGUGAUAUACGUUGCGGUGGUCAACACGGAUGCAUUUAACCUAACACUUAAUUAUUUAUCAAUUUGUGCCAUAUUUUGUCAAGCAAUAAACUCAAUUGGAAAAUUUAUUUUAAAUUUAGUUGCAUUUUGUACAAAACCUGCUACAUAGCUACAGAUAGACAGGUACCUAGCAGUUGCCUUUUGUAACAGUUUUGGUAUUUUUAAAAAUUAGAACUACGAAGGUGGUCAAAUAAAUGUUUCUCCUCGACAACACUAUCGUGUAGUAUAUUCUUGUAGACGGCUACUUUCAAAAUUUUAGCCAACUCGGAUAUAUUUUUUUCAAAAGAAAAUUCCGAGAUUUUGUUUUCAAGAGAGCGAUAUUGGUCGGUGGCUCAAUUCUUGUUUUGGAAACGAAAUGGCGUUGUGAGAUCAGUGAGUGCUUGGGUGCUCUAUACAGUGACACUUUUCCUUCGAUAUAACAAGCAUCGCGGCAACUUCACAGCAGUGUUUGUCGCUAUUUAAUCCCAAUUAUAAAGUACGACGAAACAUGGAUUCACUGGAAAACAUUAGAAACCAAGAAACAGUCCAAACAGUGAAUUUCACACGACCUAACCUGACCUAAAAAAGGCGAAAACUGUUCUAUCAGCCGGAAAGAUAGUGAUGAGGAUGGUCUCUGGUAUUCAACUAUUUGUAGAAAGCAAAUUAGUUAGACAGCACUAUUAUGCUGAACUAUUGCAAUAUCUAUAAUAUACAAUUAAUUAUAAAUAAAUUUAUGAAAUAUUGUAAAAAAAUAGUUUACUGUAAUAAAUACAUACAUACAUAUAUAUACUACAUAUAUCAAGCUAAAAAAUGCCAUUGCAAAAUGAAUUGAGAAUCAGCAAGCGACAAUGCAAGGAUGCAAUGAUGAUGAGAUUUUCACAAUGAUUUGUGCGCAAACUUAAAACGUUUAAAGGUAAAGUCCGUUCAUAUUGAACCAGGAAUACGUAGAAGGUGUUACAUACAAACACACUGAGGGGGUUGUGAGACUACAAAUAAAAAUUUAAUUCGGUUUAAAUUGGACCAUACGCCUCCAGGAUAAAUUUACAUACGCAGGACUUAAUCGAUGCAAUACAUUUACAGGGUGAGUCAGUUGGUACAAGCACAAUUUCUUUAAUUUACAUACAAACGACACUAAUAUUGAAAGAUAUAUGUGAAAUUUUCUACUACAAUUACAUUCGUUAGAUAUAAAAACAGUAGCUAGUUAGUUUUGGGGUCUUCCACUACGCUUACAGCACUCCCUAGAUGGGAGACUACAAACUGUAGAAUACACCGCAACAUGGCGUGACAAUGCAAGUAAUAGUAUCACUCGCGGAGAUUUAAGGAAGAAAGCAAGUGUUUAAAUAAUUUUAUCACCAAAUCAUACGAUCAUUCAGCUAUAUAGUCAGCUAAAGUUGUUUUGUGGGCGUGUAUGCUUGGAGCGAGCGCGACAUUGCCGAUAUAGCAAUAUCGUAAUUUACGAGUCUAUUUACAGUUAUGAAUGUGCCUAACCAUAUACUUUUGUAUGUAUGUAGGUACAUAUGUGUGUAUGAACGAAAUUGUAACACUUUUACCAAAAAAUUGAAGAAAACCACUUUGAAAGAUUAUAAGCAGUUUCGAUGCAAUCAUUAACGCUUCUUCACAAAAAUCAAAAAAAUUUAUAUAUACGAGUAUGUAAGUAUGUUUAUGACGUAAUCAGUUUAAUGCUUGUGGCAGAGUUAAGUAUUGGAAUAAUUAGAGCGAGAGAGACAGAGAGUGAGAAAGAGAGAGCACGCGAAAUUGAGACAAGUAUUUGAGUUAUGAGUAAGCAAAUUUUUAGCAGAAUUUCGACAUACCAAAUUUGAAUUAGACUAAACUGUAGCAGAGUUUCUGAAGUAUUUCUUAAAAUAUGUUUACAGAGCGAGUUCACAGGGAACGAGACAGUUAAAAUUCGAGUAAGCGAAAUGUAUGCAUUUCUAGGUAAUGUAGUUAAUGAGGUGUUACUGUACUUUAGCAAUACUAUGGCAAAUAGCGGCAGCUUUUCUGAACUAAAAGUUGUGAAUGCAAAAGCGUAUUGAAAAAAAUAUAUAAAAUUU